GAUGAACGCUGGCGGCGUGCUUAACACAUGCAAGUCGAACGGAAAGGCCCAAGCUUGCUUGGGUACUCGAGUGGCGAACGGGUGAGUAACACGUGGGUGAUCUGCCCUGCACUUCGGGAUAAGCCUGGGAAACUGGGUCUAAUACCGGAUAGGACCACAUUUUGGAUGGUGUGGUGGAAAGUUUUUCGGUGCGGGAUGAGCUCGCGGCCUAUCAGCUUGUUGGUGGGGUAAUGGCCUACCAAGGCGUCGACGGGUAGCCGGCCUGAGAGGGUGUACGGCCACAUUGGGACUGAGAUACGGCCCAGACUCCUACGGGAGGCAGCAGUGGGGAAUAUUGCACAAUGGGCGCAAGCCUGAUGCAGCGACGCCGCGUGGGGGAUGACGGCCUUCGGGUUGUAAACUCCUUUCGCUAGGGACGAAGCGUUAUGUGACGGUACCUGGAGAAGAAGCACCGGCUAACUACGUG
rnacentral:rRNA from 1 species